rnacentral:rRNA from 1 species
AGCGAACGCUGGCGGUAGGCCUAACACAUGCAAGUCGAACGGCAGCACAGUAAGUGCUUGCUCUUACGGGUGGCGAGUGGCGGACGGGUGAGGUAUAUAUCGGAAUCUACUUUUUCGUGGGGGUUAACGUAGGGAAACUUACGCUAAUACCGCAUACGACCUUCGGGUGAAAGCAGGGGAUCUUUGGACCUUGCGCGAUUGAACGAGCCGAUGUCGGAUUAGCUAGUUGGCGGGGUAAAUGCCCACCAAGGCGGCGAUACGUAGCUGGUCUGGGAGGAUGGUCACCCACACUGGAGCUGAGACACGGCCCAUACGCCUGCGGGAGGCAGCAGUCUGCAAUAGUAGACAAUGGGGGCGAGCAUGAUCCAGCCAUACCGCGUGGGAUGAAAAGGCCCUCGGUUUGGGAAGCCCUUUUGUUGGGAGUGAAAAGCAGCAGGUUAAUACCCCGCGUUACUGACGGUACCGGGAGAAUAAGCACCGGCUAACUUCGUG